rnacentral:lncRNA from 1 species
CUGGGAUUUGUCACUCCGUGUAAACGGAGAGGUAUCUCUGGGCCCACUCGGUAGGACAUCAUCAUAAUGUGCACAAUGUGACCAAGGGGUUGAUCACAGGAUGAUGUGUUGCGGAACGAGUAAAGAGACUUGCCGGUAACGAGAUUGAACAAGGUAUCGGUAUACCGACGAUUGAAUCUCGGGCAAGUAAAAUACCGCUAGACAAAGGGAAUUGUAUACGGGAUUGAUUAAGUCCUUGACAUCGUGGUUCAUCCAAUGAGAUCAUCGUGGAACAUGUGGGAGCCAACAUGGGUAUCCAGAUCCCGCUGUUGGUUAUUGACCGGAGAGUCAUCUCGGUCAUGUCUGCAUGUCUCCCGAACCCGUAGGGUCUACACACUUAAGGUUCAGUGACGCUAGGGUUAUAGAGAUAUUAGUAUGCGGUAACCCGAAAGUUGUUCGGAGUCCCGGAUGAGAUCCCGGACGUCACGAGGAGUUCCGGAAUGGUCCGGAGGUAAAGAUUUAUAUAUAGGAAGUCCUGUUUUGGCCAUCGGGGACAAGUUUCGGGGUCAUCGGUAUUGUACCGGGACCACCGGAAGGGUCCCGGGGGCCCACCGGGUGGGGCCACCUGCCCCAGGGGGCCACAUGGGCUGUAGGGGGUGCGCCUUGGCCUACAUGGGCCAAGGGCACCAGCCCCAAGAGGCCCAUGCGCCUAGGGAACCCUAGAGGGAAGAGUCCUCAAGGGGGAAGGCACCUCCGAGGUGCCUUGGGGAGGAUGGACUCCUCCCCCCCUCUUGGCCGCACCCCUUCCUUGGAGGAAGGGGCAAGGCUGCGCCUCCCCCUCUCCCUUGCCCCUAUAUAUAGUGGGGAAAAGGAGGAUCAAUCAUACCUAAGGCCUGGCGCCUCCCUCUCCCUCCCGUGACACAUCUCCCUCCUCCCGCAGCGCUUAGCGAAGCCCUAUUGGAAUCCCGCUACUUCCACCACGCCGUCGUGCUGCUGGAUCUCCAUCAACCUCUCCCUCCUCCUUGCUGGAUCAAGGCAUGGGAGACAUCUCCGUUCCGUACGUGUGUUGAACGCGGAGGUGCCAUCCGUUCGGCACUUGGUCAUCGGUGAUUUGAAUCACGACGAAUACGACUCCAUCAACCCCGUUCUCUUGAACGCUUCCGCUUAGCGAUCUACAAGGGUAUGUAGAUGCACUCUCAUUCCCCUCGUUGCUGGUUUCUCCAUAGAUAGAUCUUGGUGACACGUAGGAAAAUUUUGAAUUUCUGCUACGUUCCCCAACAGUGGCAUCAUGAGCUAGGUCUAUUGCGUAGAUUCUAUGCACGAGUAGAACACAAAGUAGUUGUGGGCGUUGAUUUUGUUCAAUAUGCUUGCCGUUACUAGUCUUAUCUUGAUUCGGCGGCAUCGUGGGAUGAAGCGGCCCGGACAAACCUUACACGUACGCUUACGUGAGACCGGUUCCACCGACAAACAUGCACUAGUUGCAUAAGGUGGCUGGCGGGUGUCUGUCUCUCCCACUUUAGUCGGAUCGGAUUCGAUGAAAAGGGUCCUUAUGAAGGGUAAAUAGCAAUUGGCAUAUCACGUUGUGGUCUUUGCGUAGGUAAGAAACGUUCUUGCUACAAACCCAUAGCAGCCACGUAAAACAUGCAAACAACAAUUAGAGGACGUCUAACUUGUUUUUGCAGGGUAUGCUAUGUGAUGUGAUAUGGCCAAAAGGAUGUGAUGAAUGAUAUAUGUGAUGUAUGAGAUUGAUCAUGUUCUUGUAAUAGGAAUCACGACUUGCAUGUCGAUGAGUAUGACAACCGGCAGGAGCCAUAGGAGUUGUCUUUAUUUAUUUAUGACCUGCGUGUCAACUUAAACGUCAUGUAAUUACUUUACUUUAUUGCUAACGGUAGCCAUAGAAGUAGAAGUAAUAGUUGGCGAGACAACUUCAUGAAGACACGAUGAUGGAGAUCAUGGUGUCAUGCCGGGGACGAUGAUGAUCAUGGAGCCCCGAAGAUGGAGAUCAAAAGGAGCAAAAUGAUAUUGGCCAUAUCAUGUCACUAUUUGAUUGCAUGUGAUGUUUAUCAUGUUUAUGCAUCUUAUUUGCUUAGAACGACGGUAGUAAAUAAGAUGAUCCCUCAUUAAAAUUUCAAGAAGUGUUCUCCCCUAACUGUGCACCGUUGCUAGAGUUCGUCGCUUCGAAGCACCACGUGAUGAUCGGGUGUGAUAGAUCCUUACGUUCACAUACAACGGGUGUAAGACAGAUUUACACAUGCAAUACACUUAGGGUUAACUUGACGAGCCUAGCAUGUACAGACAUGGCCUCGGAACACGGAGACCGAAAGGUCGAGCAUGAGUCGUAUAGUAGAUACGAUCAACAUGAAGAUGUUCACCGAUGAUGACUAGUCCGUCUCAUGUGAUGAUCGAACACGGCCUAGUUUGACUCGGAUCAUGUGAUCACUUAGAUGACCAGAGGGAUGUCUAUCUGAGUGGGAGUUCAUAAGAUGAACUUAAUUAUCCUGAACAUAGUCAAAAGGUCUUUGCAAAUUAUGUCGUAGCUCGCGUUUUAGUUCUACUGUUUAGAUAUGUUCCUAGAGAAAAAUUAGUUGAAAGUUGAUAGUAGCAAUUAUGCGGACUAGGUCUGUAAACUGAGGAUUGUCCUCAUUGCUUCAUAGAAGGCUUAUGUCCUUAAUGCACCGCUCAGUGUGCUGAACCUCGAACGUUGUAUAUGGAUGUUGCGAACAUCUGACAUACACGCUUUGAUGACUACAUGAUAGUUCAGUGCGUAAUGCUAAAUGGUUUAGAAUUGAGGCACCAAAGACGGUUUUGAAACGUCACGAAACAUAUGAGAUGUUUUGAGGGCUGAAAUUGGGAUUUCAGGCUCGUGCCCACGUCAAGAGGUAUAAGACCUCCGACGAUUUUCUUAGCCUACAAACUAAGGAGAAAAGCUCAAUUGUUGAGCUUGUGCUCAGAUUGUCUGAGUACAACAAUCGCUUGAAUCAAGUGGGAGUUGAUCUUCCAGAUGAAAUAGUGAUGGUUCUCCAAAGUCAUUACCACCAAGCUGCUAGAGCUUCGUGAUGAACUAUGAUAUAUCAGGGACAUAUAUGAUGAUCCUUGAGAUAUUCGUGAUGUCUGACACCGCGAAAGUAGAAAUCAAGAAGGAGCAUCAAUUGUUGAUGGUUAGUGAAACCACUAGUUUUAAGAAGGGCAAGGGCAAGAAGGGAUACUUCAUGAAACGGCAAUUCAGUUGCUGCUCUGGUGAAGAAACCCAAGGUUGAACCCAAACCCGAGACUGAGUGCUUCUGUAAUAAGGGGAACAGCCACUGGAGCAGAAUUACCCUAGAUACUUGGUAGAUGAGAAGGCUGGCAAGGUCGAUAGAAGUAUAUUGGAUAUACAUUGUGUUAAUGUGUACUUUACUAGUACUCCUAGUAUCACCAGGGUAUUAGAUACCGGUUCGGUUGCUAAGUGUUAGUAACUCGAAACAAAAGGCUACGGAAUAAACAUAGACUAGCUAAAGGUGAGCUGACGAUAUGUGUUGGAAGUUUUUCCAAGCUUGAUAUGAUCAAGCAUCGCACGCUCCCUCUACCAAAGAGAUUGGUGUUAAACCUAAAUAAUUGUUAUUUGGUGUUUGCGUUGAACAUAGACAUGAUUGGAUUAUGUCUAUCGCAAUACGGUUAUUCAUUUAAGGAGAAUAACAGUUACUCUGUUUAUUUGAAUAAUACCUUCAAUGGUCUUGCACCUAAAUGAAUGGUUUAUUGAAUCUUGAUCAUAGUGAUACACAUUUUCAUGCCAAAAGAUAGUAAUGAUAGUACCACCUACUUGUGGCACUGCCACAUAAGUCAUAUCGGUAUAAAACGCAUGAAGAAGCUCCAUGUUGAUGGAUCUUUGGGCUCGCUCGUUUUUGAAAAGUUUGAGACAUGCGAACCAUGUCUAUUGGUGUAUAUGCAUGAAGAAACUCCAUGCAAAUGGACCGUUUGGACUCACUUGGUUUUGAAUCACUUGAGACAUGCAAAUCAUACCACAUGGGCAAGAUGACUGAAAGCCUCGUUUUCAGUAAAAUGGAACUAGAAAGCAACUUGUUGGAAGUAAUACAUUUUGAUGUGUGCAAUCCAAUGAGUGCUGAGGCAUGUAGUGGAUAUCGUUAUGUUCUUACUUCACAGAUGAUUUGAGUAGAUGUUGAGUACAUUUACUUGAUGAAUCACGAGUCUGAAUUAUUGAAAGGUUCAAGUAAUUUCAGUGUGAAGUUGAAAGAUCGUCGUGACAAGAGGAUAAAAGAUCUAUGAUAUGAUCAUAGAGAUGAAUAUCUGAACUACGAGUUUGGCACACAAUUAAGACAUUGUGGAAAUUGUUUCACAACUAAUACAGCCUGGAACACCAUAGUGGGAUGGUGUGUCCGAACAUCAUAACUGCACCCUAUUAGAUGUGAUGCAUACCAUGAUGUCUCUUAUAGAAUUACCACGAUAGUUUAUGGGUUAGGCAUUAAAGACAACCACAUUCACUUUAAAUAGGGCACCACGUAAUUCCGAUAAGAUGACACCAUAUGAACUAUGGUUUAGGGAAACCUAAGCUGUCAUUUCUUAAAAGUUUGGGGCUGCGACGCUUAUGUGGAAAAGUUUCAGGUUGAUAAGCUCGAACCCAAAGCGGAUAAAUGCAUCUUCAUAGGACACCCAAAACAGUUGGGUAUACCUCCUAAUUCAGAUCCGAAAGCAAUAGGGAUUGUUUCUUGAAUCGGGUCCUUUCUCGAGGAAAGGUUUGUCUCGAUAAUUGAGUGGGAGGAUGGUUGAGACUUGAUGAGGUUAUUGAACCGUCACUUCAACAAGUGUGUAGCAGGGCACAGGAAGUUGUUCAUGUGGCACCUACACCAAUUGAAGUAGAAGCUUAUGAUAGUGAUCAUAAAGUUUUGGAUCAAGUCACUACCGUACCUCGUGGGAUGACAAGGAUGCGUACUACUUCAGAGUGGUACAUAAUCCUGUCUUGGAAGUCAUGUUGCUAGACAACAAUGGACCUACGAGCUAUGGAGAAGCAAUGGUGGGCCCGGAUUCCGAUGAAUGGCUCGAGGCCAUAAAAUCCGAGAGAGGAUCCAUGUAUGAAAACAAAGUGUAGACUUUGGCAGAACGGCUCAAUGGUCAUAAGGCUAUUGAGUACAGAUGGAUUUUAAAAGGAAGACGGACAAUGAUGGUAAAUGUCACCAUUAAGAAAGCUCGACUUGUCGUUAAGAAGUUUCCGACAAGUUCAAGGAGUUGACUACUGUGAGACUUUCUCACUCGUAGCGAUGCUAAGAGUCUGUUGGAAUUAUAUUAGCGAUUACUGCAUUAUUUAUGAAAUCUUGCAGAUAGGAUGUCAAAACAUUGUUUCCUCGACGAUUUUCUUGAGGAAAGGUUGUAUGUGAUACAACCGGAAGGUUUUGUCAAUCCUGAAAGAUGCUAAUAAAUAUGCAAAGCUCUAGCAAUCCUUCUAAGGACUGGAGUAAGCAUCUCGGAGUUGGAAUGUAUGCUUUGAUGAUGAUCAAAGAUUUUGGGUUUAUACAAAGUUUAUGAGAAACUUGUAUUUCCAAAGAAGUGAGUGGGAGCACUAUUGAAUUUCUGAUGAGUAUAUGUUGUUGACAUAUUGAUGAUCAGAAAUGAUGUAGAAUUUCUAGAAAGCAUAUAGGGUUGUUUAAAAGGUGUUUUUCAAUGGAAAGUCUGGAUUAAGCUACUUGAACGUUGAGCAUAGAGAUCUAUAAGGAUAGAUCAAAACGCUUAAUGGUACUUUCAAAUGAGCACAUACCUUGACAUGAUCUUGAAGGUGUUAAGAUGGAUCAGUCAAAGAAGGAGUUCUUGCCUGAGUGGUAAGGUAUGAAGUUAAGACUUAAAGCUCGACCACGGCAGAAUAGAGAGAAAGGACAAAGGUCGUCCGCUAUGCUUAAGACAUAGGCUCUAUAGUAUGCUAUGCUGUGUACCGCACCUGAAGUGUGCCUUGCCAUGAGUCAGUCAAGGGGUACAAGAGUGAUCCAAGAAUGGAUCACGGGACAGCGGUCAAAGUUAUCCUUAGUAACUAGUGGACUAAGGAAUUUUCUCGAUUAUGGAGGUGGUAAAGGGGUUCGUCGUAAAGGGUUACGUCGAUACAAGCUUAACACCUAUCCGGAUAGCUCUGAGUAGAGAUACCGGAUAUGUAUAAUGGAGCAACAAUUUAGAAUAGCUCCAAGUAGAACAAUUAUUUGGAAUAGCUCCAAAUAGAACGUGGUAGCUGCAUCUAGGAGAUGACAUAGAGAUUUGUAAAGCACACACGGAUCUGAAAGAUUCAGACCCGUUGACUAUAACAUCUCUCACAAGCAUAACAUGAUCAAACCCAGAACUCAUCAAGUGUUAAUCACAUGGUAAUGUGAACUAGAUUAUUGACUCUAGUAAACUCUUUGGGUGUUAGUCACAUGGGGAUGUGACCUUGAGUGUUAGUCACAUAGCGAUGUGAACUGGAUUAUUGACUCUAGUGCAAGUGGGAGACUGUUGGAAAUAUGCCCUAGAGGCAAUAAUAAAUUGGUUAUUAUUAUAUUUCUUUGUUCAUGAUAAUUGUCUUUUAUUCAUGCUAUAACUGUAUUAUCCGGAAAUCGUAAUACACGUGUGAAUACAUAGACCACAAUCUGUCCCUGGUGAGCCUCUAGUUGACUAGCUCGUUGUGAUCAACAGAUAGUCAUGGUUUCCUGGCUAUGGACAUUGGAUGUCGUUGAUAACGGGAUCACAUCAUUAGGAGAAUAAUGUGAUGGACAAGACCCAAUCCUAAGCCUAGCACAAAGAUCGUGUAGUUCGUAUGCUAAAGCUUUUCUAAUGUCAAGUAUCUUUUCCUUAGACCAUGAGAUUGUGCAACUCCCGGAUACCGUAGGAAUGCUUUGGGUGUACCAAACGUCACAACGUAACUGGGUGGCUAUAAAGGUGCAUUACAGGUAUCUCCGAAAGUAUCUGUUGGGUUGGCACGAAUCGAGACUGGGAUUUGUCACUCCAUGUAAACGGAGAGGUAUCUCUGGGCCCACUCGGUAGGACAUCAUCAUAAUGUGCACAAUGUGACCAAGGGGUUGAUCACGGGAUGAUGUGUUGCGGAACGAGUAAAGAGACUUGCCGGUAACGAGAUUGAACAAGGUAUCGGUAUACCGACGAUCGAAUCUCGGGCAAGUAAAAUACCGCUAGACAAAGGGAAUUGUAUACGGGAUUGAUUAAGUCCUUGACAUCGUGGUUCAUCCGAUGAGAUCAUCGUGGAACAUGUG